AGAUGAACCAACAAUUCCAGAAAACCGAUUCCAAUCGAUUUUUAUUCCUCGGUCUUAUGGGUUUUUCGGAAACCCUGUGCCAAUGUAUAACGGACCACAAUUUGCAAUUGAAAACUACAAUUUAUGACUCAUCAGUAAAAACACUUAUGGUUAUAGGGCAACUAAUGGUACGUACGUUGUUCUUUAACUGAGCCAGAAAUUGUAGUUCCUAAUUGCAAAAUUUAGUCCAAAUUACCCCUCUGAUCGUCCGGAAGCGGUGAAGUUAUCCAUAUUAAUUGGACUGCAUUUUGCAAUUUGGAACUAUAAAUGGCUCCUCUGGAAAAACACUUAUAUUCAUAGGACAAGUAAUGGUACGUACGUUGUUCUUUAACUGAGCCAGAAAUUGUAGUUCCUAAUUGCAAAAUUUAGUCCAAAUUACCCCUCUGAUCGUCCGGAAGCGGUGAAGUUAUCCAUAUUAAUUGGACUGCAUUUUGCAAUUUGGAACUAUAAAUGGCUCCUCUGGAAAAACACUUAUAUUCAUAGGACAAGUAAUGGUACGUACGUUGUUCUUUAACUGAGCCAGAAAUUGUAGUUCCUAAUUGCAAAAUUUAGUCAAAAUUACCCCUCCGACCGUCCGGAGGCGGUGAAGUUAUCCAUAUUAAUUGAGCUGCAUUUUGCAAUUUAGAACAAUAAAUUCUGUCUCCUCUGGAAAAACACUUAUGUGCAUAGGGAGACUAUUGGCACAUUCGUUGUUUUUAAACCGGGCAAGAAUGCAUAGUUCCAAAUUGCAAAAUGUAGUCCAAUCUUCUAAAGUUACGGUCGUGUUCUGUGUUUGACUUAGGCUCGAGAAAUGCGAAAGACUUGUGGACGUACGAUUGGGGCUCGAAAAAAUACGUGUGCACCGUCUGCGGAGCUGCGUACAAACACAAGCACAACCUUUUGGGACACCUCCGAGCCCACACUGGCGAGACCUACUGCGCUUUCUGCGACAAAGUAUACUCGACCAAAGGCAAUUUCGACACCCACAUGACCACCGUCCACAGGCGCAAACCCUCCGUCUCGGGCUCGCAAUCACUCGAAAUGUCAUAAGGAGAGUGACUGUGAUUGACAGGAGACCAUACAAGUGCGAUAAAUGCAAUAAAAGUUACGCUCAUGAUAAGAAUCUUAUCAAUCACAAGAAAGCGCACACCGGAGAUACGUUCUGCGAAUUAUGCAGAAAGGUCUUUUCCAACAUGUCGCAUUAUCGGACGCACAUGCGGGGAGCUCACUCAAUUGAAGUUCUCAAAGUUAAAACCCUUCCCGCCGAAUUCCUCUCGUAAUUGGCUAUAUUGUUUCAUUUAUUUUUUACUUUUUUAAAAUUAUUGACGCCUCUUCCGGAAGACCAGUAGACGAAGUGCGAAUUUAUUCAUUCUGUUUCAUGUUUCUUAACCAAAAUUUAAAGUAGAGCACGACCCGCGAUUGUCGAUUUCAGUAAUUUUCCUCAGGCGAAUCGCGUUUUACGUGAAAUUGGACGUAUUUAUGCUAAAAGGAACUAUGUCAAUCCUAUGCACAUAGUUCCUUUUAGCAUAAAUACAUCCAAUUCUGGGAAAGAAACGUGUAAGAGAACGCUUAAAUUCGAAACCUGGUC
rnacentral:lncRNA from 1 species